rnacentral:rRNA from 1 species
GAUCCUGGCUCAGAUUGAACGCUGGCGGCAUGCCUUACACAUGCAAGUCGAACGGUAACGCGGGGCAACCUGGCGACGAGUGGCGAACGGGGUGAGUAAUAUAUCGGAACGUGCCCAGUAGUGGGGGAUAGCCCGGCGAAAGCCGGAUUAAUACCGCAUGAGACCUGAGGGUGAAAGCGGGGGAUCGCAAGACCUCGCGCUAUUGGAGCGGCCGAUAUCAGAUUAGGUAGUUGGUGGGGUAAAGGCCUACCAAGCCGACGAUCUGUAGCUGGUCUGAGAGGACGACCAGCCACACUGGGACUGAGACACGGCCCAGACUCCUACGGGAGGCAGCAGUGGGGAAUUUUGGACAAUGGGCGCAAGCCUGAUCCAGCCAUGCCGCGUGCGGGAAGAAGGCCUUCGGGUUGUAAACCGCUUUUGUCAGGGAAGAAAUCUUCUGGGUUAAUACCUCGGGAGGAUGACGGUACCUGAAGAAUAAGCACCGGCUAACUACGUGCCAGCAGCCGC